AUAUCAAUAAGCGGAGGAAAAGAAACCAACAGGGAUUGCCCUAGUAACGGCGAGUGAAGCGGCAACAGCUCAAAUUUGAAAUCUGGCCCUCUCAGGGUCCGAGUUGUAAUUUGCAGAGGGUGCUCCGGCGUCGGCCCCGGGCCAAGUCCCCUGGAACGGGGCGUCCUAGAGGGUGAGAACCCCGUACCCACCCGGGUGCCCUUCGCCGUGUGAAGCCCCUUCGACGAGUCGAGUUGUUUGGGAAUGCAGCUCUAAGCGGGAGGUAAAUUUCUUCUAAAGCUAAAUACCGGCCAGAGACCGAUAGCGCACAAGUAGAGUGAUCGAAAGAUGAAAAGCACUUUGGAAAGAGAGUUAAAAAGCACGUGAAAUUGUUGAAAGGGAAGCUCUUGCCGCCAGACUUGCCGCGGUUGCUCGGCCGCCCUCCGGGGCGGUGUACUCUUCCGUCGGCGGGCCAGCGUCGGUUCGGGCGACCGGAUAAAGGCCUCGGGAAUGUAGCACCUCUCGGGGUGUGUUAUAGCCCGGGGCGCAAUGCGGUCAGCCCGGUCCGAGGCACGCGUUCGCGAGGACGCUGGCGUAAUGGCCGCAAGCGACCCGUCUUGAAACACGGACCAAGGAGUCUAACAUCUGUGCGAGUGUUUGGGCGUCAAACCCAUGCGCGUAAUGAAAGUGAACGGAGGUGGGAACCCCCCUCGAGGGGCGCACCAUCGACCGAUCCUGAUGUCUUCGGAUGGAUUUGAGUAAGAGCAUAGCUGUUGGGACCCGAAAGAUGGUGAACUAUUCCCGGAUAGGGUGAAGCCAGAGGAAACUCUGGUGGAGGCUCGCAGCGGUUCUGACGUGCAAAUCGAUCGUCAAAUCUAGGAAUAGGGGCGAAAGACUAAUCGAACCAU
rnacentral:rRNA from 1 species